AGAAUGACUCUUGACAACGGAUAUCUUGGCUCUCGCAUCGAUGAAGAGCGCAGCGAAAUGCGAUACUUGGUGUGAAUUGCAGAAUCCCGUGAAUCAUCGAGUUCUUGAACGCAAGUUGCGCCCAAAGCCCGUUUUCAGGCUGAGGGCACGCCUGCCUGGGUGUCACGC
rnacentral:rRNA from 1 species